rnacentral:lncRNA from 1 species
AGCCGUUCAUUUACAUCAAGGAGCAACCAUGAAUGUGCCAGUCGUUCAGCUUUUAUUAUGAAUGUACAUUGAAUGCACGUUCAAAACCUAGGUUCCUAGCCCUUGAUUCUUUUUUUGUAAAAGGCAUGUAGGACACCUGUACACGUUCUGAGGCUCCAGGGAGGAAAAAAAAUCCAAAGCUAUGUACUUAACGUUUAGCCAACAGGAGACUUUUAUUUCUUUUAUUAUGAGGCCAGUGGAGGGAAAUUGGUCAUUUUAAAAUAUAAAUAGCAACAUAAAUUUACUAUAUAUGAAAAGAUAUAUAAUCAAAGACAGAAAUUAAUAUUCCAAGAACACAGUAGUACGGUAAAACCUCACUUACCUGGAAAAUAGUAUCAACAUUUUGGAACGUAGCAGAAAGAUGGAAAAAGAAAAAC